rnacentral:RNase_P_RNA from 1 species
UAAGUAAUCGAGGCGACUACCCCGUCGCUGAGACGGGGAGGAAAGUCCAGGCACCAAAGAGCAACGUAGUCCGCGCAAGCGGACCAAGGGUGACCUAGGGAAUAGUGCAACAGAAACAUACCGCCUACCCGUGCGAAGCACGGCGGCAAGGGUGAAAUCGUGGGGUAAGAGCCCACGCGUAGCCAUCGUGAGAUGGUGCGGUGAAAACCCUACGUGGUGCAAGUCGGAUGGCCCAAACUCAGUUGUUCUGCAAAAUGUGAGCAGGAACUUCCCAUUGAAGUAACUGUUCUCCAAUCAGAAAGAACUUGCUCGGUUCUAACUGGGGUUGGGUCCGACGCAACCCGAAAGGGUCCCCUUCGGGGUAGAUAGAUAUCGCCUAAACCAAACCUGGCUUAUCGAUUACUUAGGGC